UACGGAGGGGGCUAGCGUUGUUCGGAAUUACUGGGCGUAAAGCGCACGUAGGCGGCUUUGUAAGUUAGAGGUGAAAGCCCAGGGCUUAACCCUGGAAUUGCCUCUAAGACUGCAUCGCUCGAAUUGUGGAGAGGUGAGUGGAAUUCCGAGUGUAGAGGUGAAAAUUCGUAGAUAUUCGGAAGAACACCAGUGGCGAAGGCGACUCACUGGACACAUAAUUGACGCUGAGGUGCGAAAGCGUGGGGAGCAAACAGG
rnacentral:rRNA from 1 species